AACGAACGCUGGCGGCAUGCCUAACACAUGCAAGUCGAACGAGACCUUCGGGUCUAGUGGCGCACGGGUGCGUAACGCGUGGGAACCUGCCCUUAGGUUCGGAAUAACUCCCCGAAAGGGGUGCUAAUACCGGAUAAUGUCUUCGGACCAAAGAUUUAUCGCCUUUGGAUGGGCCCGCGUUGGAUUAGCUAGUUGGUAGGGUAAAAGCCUACCAAGGCGACGAUCCAUAGCUGGUCUGAGAGGAUGAUCAGCCACACUGGGACUGAGACACGGCCCAGACUCCUACGGAAGGCAGCAGUGGGGAAUAUUGGACAAUGGGCGAAAGCCUGAUACAGCAAUGCCGCGUGAGUGAUGAAGGCCUUAGGGUUGUAAAGCUCUUUUACCCGGGAUGAUAAUGACAGUACCGGGAGAAUAAGCUCCGGCUAACUACGUG
rnacentral:rRNA from 1 species